CCAACAGGGAUUGCCCUAGUAACGGCGAGUGAAGCGGCAACAGCUCAAAUUUGAAAUCUGGCUCUCGGGCCCGAGUUGUAAUUUGUAGAGGAUACUUUUGAUGCGGUGCCUUCCGAGUUCCCUGGAACGGGACGCCAUAGAGGGUGAGAGCCCCGUCUGGUUGGAUGCCAAAUCUCUGUAAAGUUCCUUCGACGAGUCGAGUAGUUUGGGAAUGCUGCUCUAAAUGGGAGGAAUAUGUCUUCUAAAGCUAAAUACCGGCCAGAGACCGAUAGCGCACAAGUAGAGUGAUCGAAAGAUGAAAAGCACUUUGAAAAGAGAGUUAAAAAGUACGUGAAAUUGUUGAAAGGGAAGCGUUUAUGACCAGACUUGGGCUUGGUUAAUCAUCUGGGGUUCUCCCCAGUGCACUUUUCCAGUCCAG
rnacentral:rRNA from 1 species